AAAAAAAAAAAAAAAAAAAAAGGAAAAAGAAAAAGAAAAAAAAAAGUCUUUCAAGGAUGGAGCUAAGGUCAAAGAUGAGUAAAAGAACAUACAGUCUUUAUAUCCAUUAACUGAAGCGCCCUCAGUCUGAGAGGCUGAUAAAGGACUUUGCAGUGGGAAUUCAUGACUAUCACAAAUGCCUGAAUAGGAGCAGGAAAAAGCAGGAGACGCCUCCCACUCGCAUCGUGGGUGUGUGAGGUCCAACAGAUGUGACUGCUUUGGUGUUCUCUGUACUCUGUCCUUGUAGAGGUGUGAAAAGCUAUAUUGCUACAGGCAAUUUAUUUAAUAAUUGGAAGCCAUAUUGAUAAUGGAUGUGGUAAUAUUUGUAAAGUUUAAUCUACUUUAAGCGGCAGUAACUAAUGGAAUUUUUUUCCUUGAUCACAUAUGUAGCACUUUUGUUACUUUUGAAAGAUAUUUAUAUUUGAUAAAUCUUCUUUUCAUUUUUCAAAACUCAAAAUACCAAACAGUGAACUUGCGUUAUAAAGUCACCCUGUGAUCACCUUGUCAUCUAGUAGCAAAAUGAUGAACUAUUCAUGCAUCACAGAAAAUUACAUCUGCUGGCCUUGUAUGAAAAUGAUCUCUUGGCAUCCUGAUUAAAUGACACACCGUCACCGUGGGUAAGAGGAGACAGCCUUCACUGUAGCAGCCCAGGGUGCGUCUGAGAGGCACGACUGCUGUGUGUGUCCGGCCUCAUUCCAUCUCUCCUCCCUGUGUAUAAUGCAGCCUCGUUUAAAGGGGAAGAUGAGACUGGCUAUUUAGCAGGGCUUCUGUCUGUCUGUCCAUUAUCUGAAAAGAAUCUUCAGUUUGAAGGAAGGUGCCAUUUCCUUACCUCUUAACUCUUCCUCCCCAACCAAAUGUAUUCAGCUUAAAAUGAUUGCGAGUGGGCACGUGCAUGAGGGGGCGAGAGAGAGAGAGAGACUGACUGACCAACUUGCUUUGUCUGCUUUGUGAGAUAGUCAUGUCCACCCGUUUCCGGCUGGUCCCACUCCACUUCAGGCACACACUGACUCGGUCAGCUCCGUAUCUGUUCAUCUUGCUUACGUAAGUGCGAGAACUGAACUAUGUCAGUGACUAAACAGUGAAGGCAGGGCCCGGUCCUGCUCUUAUCCAUGGAUUUCAGGGGGAAAAUGUAUGUACUUUUCCCAGCUUCCGACAAGUGAAGUAAAGUGGAGCCGUCGUCUCUGUUUUACUGUAUUCCUCGAGCCAACACUUUCAAGAGUAGCAUUAGUUAUUCUCAGGAAUGAUACACCCCUUCCACCCUUCAUACUCGUGCUUGGUUGAUUUGGCUUUUUAUUUCCAUUAGGAGAUUGUGUUAUCUUUCCUUAUUUUACAUAGAAGAAAUAUAGCAUAUUGUAUCUUUCCAUUUGGUGGACAUUUGUCUGCUUACUCUCAGUUGAAUCCAGAAGAACAAGGAGAGAAAGGAAGAAAACACUCUCUCUGACAAGCCACAUACAUGAUUUAUUGUGAGGAGAUUAUUAUAAUUGAUAGGUUCUUUAUGAUAGGACUGCUAGUAUCAUUUGUUCUUGCUGGUCUUUUUAAAGGAACAGAUUCAAACUGUUACGACAGCUGCAGUUUCUAAGGAAAUACCGUGAUUGCCGCAGAAGAACUAAAAGGUUCAUUCUUUUUAAGACCUUUAAGGAAGAAAAAAAAAAUGCUUGUGAGAAUAAAGGAGAGUCGAUAUCCGUGAAGGGAGAGCCAGGCCCUAUCUGGUGAUGUGGUAAACUGAAAGGACAUUUCUGCCCAGGCAGGACAGCACCACACUGAGUUCAGCGAGAACAAGAGGACAGGAUCUUUCUCCCACAAGUCUUGUAAUGAGAGAAGACUGCUGACUGCUCUUAAGACCUGCUGCCUUACACAUAGUGUUUGCUUUCUCACCAAGAGUGAAUGUACUUCUUUGGGGCCAGCUGUAAGUCUCCCAUCGGGUCGUAGUCUGUCAAUUCUGCAGUCUUGUCCAGGCCCCCUCAGUUCUUGUAAUGACAUACGGAGCUGCCAGUGUUUGCUUUCUAAUAUCUCUGAUUGGUACAUUUCUUUCUGAAGCCUCUCCAGGUUUUAGAGGUGACUUCAAAGUAAAAUCCUAAACUACUCUGUUAUUGAAGGGAAAAUAGCGAGGCUUUUUAAAAAUAGUCAUGUUGUCUGGAUUUCAUUGCGCUGUGUCCUCCUCCUCUCACUUCAUUCUAGACUUCUUCAGCACCCGGAGGACUCUUUUAGGGGCUGUUCCUUCUUGGCUCUUUAGGUAGACUUAAAAGUUGAGGGUUGUUGGAAUCUUGCCAGCAGGUAUUCAUGUGACUUAUCUAUUGUUAUUAUUUUUUAAAGACAUUUUAAUUGAAUCAGAUGGGUAAGCUUUCUCCCCUUCUUAAAACACGUCCCAUAGGGACCUUUUAAAGAUGGACCAUGUUAAUGAAAUUUCUGCCUAUCUUUGAGAACAGUGGAUGGAAGCCAGUGGUACACUCUUAUCUGAGGCCUUCCAGUGCCAUUCAGCACCAAACAGACGUUUUGGUACAUUUCAGCAAACUUGUAAGAAUGAAAUAUGCCUGAAGGCAGUGUACUUCACUCUCUCAGUUCCCCUAAGAAGUUGGUAACUAGUUACCCUCUGCCUACCUACUAUGGAUUCUGAACAGUUACACACUUGUCAUUUGGUGGGGCAGCUCGCCCAACUCCACACACAUUCUCAUCGUCCUGCACAGGAAGGAGCAAGUUGGGGCGGGCAGGCAUAGAGACCCCAGUUCAGUGGCGUGACCACGUACAAAGACGUGAGUGAGCAGGCAGCUCAUAAAACCUGAGGUUUAUAAGUGCAGUCAGUGCUCUGGCUCCUGAUAGGUCAAGGUGGCAAUUCAGUGGUCAACGGCACCCGUGUCAGGACCAGAUAUCCAGAUUGUUUUUACCUCCAGGGAAUAACUAUGAAGAAUUCACUGGUACAUUUGUCUCAGUUCCCCAUCUGACCUUUAUCUUUAAGAAAUGAGCGUUUUAGAAACUUUUUUCUUGGGCACCAAGUAUAAAUAGACUCUAAUCAGGAAUCUCUAGCCUUAUCCUUCCCUUUCUUCCAUUCUUCUCCACUUUUCCACCACUGAGCCCUUUUCUUGAGCUGAUUUCUUUGCUGGAAUGUUUUAUCUUCCCACAGCAGGCAAAGUAGGUAGGUGUGGUCCACCUUUUAACACAGACACUCCUUCCUGUCUUGACCAGCUGCGUAUUCCACUGACCAACCGUAUUAUCUCUGCCCACAGCAGUGGGUUAAUCCCUUCUUCACAGAUGACCUCCCCCCACCCAUCCUGAAAAUGUGAACUUCAAGUCCUUACUCUCUCUUUGGUCUUAAGAAGGGUUUGGUUAGAAGCAGUCUUCCCAUAUAACUUGUGGCUUUGCCUUUUAAAAUUGUGUUUUGACUUGUGUUAUUCAGAGAACCAGAGUAUUUUUUCCUCAGUGAAUCUCACCAGAUUCUUAGGCAAUAAUUUCUCGUCGUCGGUGACCCCGGGCUCAGCGGCACGCCGCACUGACUGACCCUCCACCUUGCAACGUUGGUUUCUGUGUUAAUCUCCGUCCGUGAUUUCAGUCUUACGUCAGAGUGGUGAGAGACAUUUUGUCAUUUUGUUGUGAUUAUUAGUAAUGUUUUACUACUGUAUUCACUGGGGGCUGUGUUGAGACCAGCCAAAUCCAUUUAUAGCUUUACUGAGCCGGAUUUCUUUGUCAAGAUUUUCUAAGUAAAAGUUGGGCACAUUGACCAGCUCCUGCUGGUGUUAUCUUUGGGGGUGGGUGGGGUGGGGGUGCACUAGAGCAGUAGUGGGAUUUCACAAAUAAAGCAUUCCUUUCAGUGUGUGCUCUUUAAAUAGCAAGGAUGUUUAACUCAGGAUUUGAGGAUCAGUUGUCAGCCAUACUGCGUUUGGCAAACUGGGCAGCAUGCCCUGAGAACCCUCACAUUGUUCCAUCCUGUCUGACCUGUGUCACUUCGGGACACCUGUUAUCCAGUGUGAAGCACUGUACCCUGGUGAGAGCGAAGGUGUUCCUGGGGAGGACGCCUCUGAGGACAUUGUCUAGCAUGCUGCCAGAGCAGACCUUUUCUUCUUCUAGCCUGCAGCCUCUUUCCUUGUUCACUCUUGGUUUAAAAAGAUUACUUUCACUCCAGACGAAGGAUCUCCUCCCUACCUAGAGGCAUGAAGCCAACAAGUAG